rnacentral:rRNA from 1 species
UACGUAGGUGGCAAGCGUUGUCCGGAUUUACUGGGCGUAAAGGAUGCGUAGGUGGAUAUUUAAGUGGGAUGUGAAAUACCCGAGCUCAACUUGGGUGCUGCAUUCCAAACUGGAUAUCUAGAGUGCAGGAGAGGUAAGUGGAAUUCCUAGUGUAGCGGUGAGAUGCGUAGAGAUUAGGAAGAACACCAGUGGCGAAGGCGACUUACUGGACUGUAACUGACACUGAGGCAUGAAAGCGUGGGGAGCAAACAGG